AGCAAUCUGGUUACCUAGGUAACGUUCUGGGUCCUGGCCCUAUCCUGGCUUCCAGGGCCUAGUUGUCAAGACUUUAAGUGUUCUAAUUCCAGGAUACAGAGUCUCUUCCACCCCAUUCCCCGAAGAGCUUUGCUAUUCUGCCUUCCACUUGCACAGCUCAAUGAGGCCUGUGUACCCUUCGCCUCCCAGACCCAAACAAGAAGAGGAGCCACGCGAGACGGAGCAAGUACAACUUUAUUUUCCAGAUGCAACCCAAGGGACGUCUUCACAUUCAACUCCAACCCUUCACCUGCCCCCUGAAAAGGAGCAGAGUGGACUCAAAGAGAGGCUCUGAAGAUGUGGAAUAUAAAGGUCCAGCAUAUUGGUCUAGGCUGGUGUAUGUCAGAGAAUGUGCAAGUUCUCCUUGCUCUUUGUUGUUAAAUAACCCAAGUCACGGGAGCAGCAAACUACAUCCAAAUGGGACCCCUAUGUAAACAGCUAUGGAAUAAAGCUGCCAUGGAUGAAGGACCUUCUCCUGAACUUCAGACCCCACGGGUCUCAAGGCUCAGGAUCACUAACUUAGAGGUUCCCAAACCUCCUAGCCCCGUCAGACCUUGCUGCUCUCGUAUGGCAAUGCUUCCACACCCCAGUCCCUAUAUUGUGAUAUUCCCUGUGUGUUAGUGCUUGCAUAGAUCUCAGAGACGCCAAUCCCCCCAAGCUCCGCCCUCUC